CCGCUCGCCGCCGCCAUGGGCGCCGCCAUGUUGGGCGCCACGUGACCGGCAUCACGUGACACCACAGGAGAGGUUUGGGUGGGCGUGGCCAAUACGCGAGAGUACGUGAAGCGGGCGUGGCCAUGAGCGCGUGGAUGGGCGUGGCCACAACGGCGCGUGCGCAAGUGGGCGUGGCCAAAGCGACGGAGUGGGCGUGGCCAAAGCCGCGUUUUAAAGCCCGGCGGCGAAAUUUGGGGAGAAAUCGGAAAAUUUUGGGGGUCCCGGGAGGGAAUUUUGGGAUUCUGGGAGGAAAAAAAUCCCAAAUAAAAGCUAAAAAAAAUCAAAAAUAAAAACAAAAAAAAAAUUUGCAAAAUAAAACCAAAAAAAAUCCAAAAUAAAACAAAAAAAAAUCCAAAAUAAACCCCCAAAAAAUCCCAAAUUUCCACCCAAAAAUCCCAAAUAAAAACCCCCAAAAAUCCCAAAUAAAAAUAAAAAAAAAUCCCAAACUCAGACCCCAAAAAUCCCAAAUAAAAUCCCAAAAAAUCCCAAAUUUCGACCCAAAAAUCCCAAAUAAAACCCCAAAAAAAUCCCAAAUUCUGACCCCAAAAACUCCCAAAUAAAAACCAAAAAAAAUCCCAAAUUCAGACCCCAAAAAUUCCCAAAUUUUGACCCAAAAAUCCAAAAUAAAACCCCCCAAAAAUCUCAAAUAAAAACCCCAAAAAAUCCCAAAUUCUGACCCCAAAAAAUCCCAAAUUUCGACCCAAAAAAUCCCAAAUAAAAACCCAAAAAAUCCCAAAUUCUGACCCCAAAAAAUCCCAACUUUCGACCCAAAAAUCCCAAAUAAAAACCCCCAAAAAUCUCAAAUAAAAACCCAAAAAAAUUCCCAAACUCAGACCCCCAAAAUCCCAAAUAAAAACCAAAAAAAAUCCCAAAUUCUGACCCCAAAAUUCCCAAAUUUUGACCCAAAAAUCCCAAAUAAAAACCCCCAAAAAUCUCAAAUAAAAACCCAAAAAAAUCCCAAAUUCUGACCCCAAAAAACCCCAAAUUUCGACCCAAAAAUCCCAAAUAAAAACCCAAAAAAUCCCAAAUAAAAACCCCAAAAAAAUCCCAAAUUUCGACCCAAAAAUCCCAAAUAAAAACCCCAAAAAAAUCCCAAAUUUCGACCCAAAAAUCCCAAAUAAAAACGAGAAAAAAUUCCAAAUUCAGACCCAAAAAUCCCAAAUAAAAACCCCCAAAAAAACCCAAACAAAAACCCAAAAAAUCCCAAAUUCAGACCCCAAAAAAUCCCAAAUUUCGACCCAAAAAAUCCCAAAUUCCGGAGCCCAGGGAUUUUUUUUUUCCAUCUUUUAUUUCGGGACCCUUCGGAUCCUCCCCCCCCCAAAAAAUUCCCGGGAAUUUUCCUCCAAUCCCAACCCUCCCCCACCCCAAAUUCCCGGGAUUUUUUCCCCCCUCAAAUCCCAUUUUUUUGGGAGGGAACAGCAGGAAAUAAAUAAAGGAAUUUUGGGGAAUAAUAAUUCCCAAAAAUCCUCAUAA
rnacentral:lncRNA from 1 species